AUUGAACGCUGGCGGCAUGCCUUACACAUGCAAGUCGAACGGUAACAGGUUAAGCUGACGAGUGGCGAACGGGUGAGUAAUACAUCGGAACGUGCCCAGUAAUGGGGGAUAGCCCGGCGAAAGCCGGAUUAAUACCGCAUACGACCUACGGGUGAAAGCAGGGGAUCGCAAGACCUUGCGUUAUUGGAGCGGCCGAUGUCAGAUUAGGUAGUUGGUGGGUAAAAGCCUACCAAGCCGACGAUCUGUAGCUGGUCUGAGAGGACGACCAGCCACACUGGGACUGAGACACGGCCCAGACUCCUACGGGAGGCAGCAGUGGGGAAUUUUGGACAAUGGGCGCAAGCCUGAUCCAGCCAUGCCGCGUGCGGGAAGAAGGCCUUCGGUU
rnacentral:rRNA from 1 species